AUUGAACGCUGGCGGCAUGCCUUACACAUGCAAGUCGAACGGCAGCACGGGCGAUUGCACCUGGUUGAGAGUGGCGAACGGGUGAGUAAUACAUCGGAACAUGUCCUGUAGUGGGGGAAAGCCCGGCGAAAGCCGGAUUAAUACCGCAUACGAUCUACGGAUGAAAGCGGGGGACCUUCGGACCUCGCGAUAUCGGGUUGGCCGAUGGCUGAUUAGCUAGUUGGUGGGGUAAAGGCCUACCAAGGCCACGAUCAGUAGCCGGUCUGUGAGGACGACCAGCCACACUGGAACGGAGACACGGCCCAGACUCCUACGGGAGGCAGCAGUGGGGAAUUGUGGACAAUGGGCGGAAGCCUGGUCCAACAAUGCCGCGUGUGUGAAGAAGGCCUUCGGGUUGUAAAGCUCUUUUGUCCGGAAAAAAAACCUUGGCCCUAAUACGGUCGGGGGAUGACGGUACCGGAAGAAUAAGCACCGGCUAACUACGUG
rnacentral:rRNA from 1 species